UAGAGGAAACAAACAGUUUUGAUGAGUAAAACAAAUUGGGAAGAAGAAAAGCAGAAGCUGCUCUAAAUCAAAUGAACAGCAUGUAAUGCUAGGUAAUAGAAGUUAAUACAAGUCAGUCAACCUUUCCACUUGAGUUGUGAGUUUAAAUGAUGCCUUGAUAAUAUAAGUGCAUAUCUUUAUUGAAAGUAUUAUAGGAUCCAAAGGUCACAUGAUCCAGAGGAACAAGGAAGCAAGAGGAUAUUUCCCAGAAAUAUAAUUACAUCCUUAAAUCUGCUCUUAACACUUUGUGAUAAAGUAUUACUGGAAAAUAGGUGAAAAAAAAAAAAAAAAAACCUCAGCAUCAAAAAUAGGUUAAAUAAUGAGAAAAUUGGGAAACCACACUGGCAUAAAAUCAAGACAUUCACAUUUAAAUGAUCUUCUAACACAGUGAAUCUAAAUAAAAAAGAAGACAUGUUACCAUGAAAUAUGAGAGGCAAAUAAGACAAUAGCUUGGUUUCAGUUUACAGGAAAAAGUUGUAAAUAUCCAUAAAAUAGUAACAUCAUAAAAUCAAUAAAAGCUGGACACACACCCCAGAACAAAUACCACCUUCAUCCUGAUCCAGGGAUUGGCUGUUCGCCCUGAGUUUUCACUAAUCCACACCUGUGUAUGACCAUGAGAACAUGACAUAAUUACAGCUCAUAGAACCUUAUAUAAGAGCAGAGGAGGGACACAGCCACAUUGUGUGCACCUGUUGGCUUGGUCGCAGUUUGAAGCAAAUUUCAAUCUCUUUGGUAUCAUUUCUGAUUACAGUUUUCUCUCCAUCAUGAAGUGGAUGAUCAUAAGAUUCUGCAUGUUGGCACUGCUGGUCUUCCAGGCUCAGACUAAUGUGACAACGACUGUGACAACUGACUUGGCAACAACUGAUAAUACUUCAGUUGCAAGUACAAAUACAACAACUGUAAAGACUUCAACUACAACUACAGCUCAAGUCACUGUUCCAACAAUUGAAAUUACUUUACCCAUAACAACGAGCACAAAUACUUCAAAUACAACUCAAGCCACUGGGACGACUUUGCAGGAACGUGUGACAACUCCAUCAGAUCAGCCAACCACAACGCCUCCGUCUUCAGAGCCCAGCAUGAUUCAAACAACUAAAUUUUCAAGUAGCAUGACUGAUAUGACCACAAUGAUGAAUUCCUCAAUGCCAGUGAACGCCACCAUGACAACAGUUGGACAGACUACAAUUUGGACAACUACGUCGUCCAGCAACUCACUGACAGUUACAGUCAUCAGCUAUUUUCUAUCCGUCCUGCUGUACAUGAUGUUGAAUUGAGCAUUAUUUGAUUCAGCCCUAGAUUAAAGCUAAGCUGGACUGUUUUGCAAAGUACUGUAUAAUAUAAUAUAAGUAGUAUAUAAAAGUAUAGACUAUAUGUAUAUACUUUAUAAAUAACUGAUGAGUAUAUAAAUGACUAUUACAUUUACAGUAGCAUAAGCCAAAACUGACCAACAGAUAAUAGUUUUAUUGAUUGAAUGUUUGUUAUGAUUGCACCAACCUGCUUGAUGCAUCACAAAUGAGGACUGAAAAGCACAUAUGAUUUCAAAUGAAAAAUGCAUAGUUUAAAAUAAUGUCUGAAAUAAAGGGGGAAAAAAAUGUUGAUUGCA
ensembl:lncRNA